AGUAUGUGGUUUAAUUCGACGCAACGCGAAGAACCUUACCAGGUCUUGACAUCCCGAUGCUAUUUCUAGAGAUAGAAAGUUACUUCGGUACAUCGGUGACAGGUGGUGCAUGGUUGUCGUCAGCUCGUGUCGUGAGAUGUUGGGUUAAGUCCCGCAACGAGCGCAACCCCUAUUGUUAGUUGCCAUCAUUCAGUUGGGCACUCUAGCGAGACUGCCGGUAAUAAACCGGAGGAAGGUGGGAUGACGUCAAAUCAUCAUGCCCCUUAUGACCUGGGCUACACACGUGCUACAAUGGUUGGUACAACGAGUUGCGAGUCGGUGACGGCGAGCUAAUCUCUUAAAGCCAAUCUCAGUUCGGAUUGUAGGCUGCAACUCGCCUACAUGAAGUCGGAAUCGCUAGUAAUCGCGGAUCAGCACGCCGCGGUGAAUACGUUCCCGGGCCUU
rnacentral:rRNA from 1 species